AGUCGACGGUACAGGGUGCUUGCACCGCUGACGAGUGGCGAACGGGUGAGUAAUACAUCGGAAUGUACCCAGUAAUGGGGGAUAACGCUUCGAAAGGAGUGCUAAUACCGCAUACGCCCUGAGGGGGAAAGUGGGGGACCGCAAGGCCUCACGUUAUUGGAGCAGCCGAUGGCUGAUUAGCUAGUUGGUAGGGUAAAGGCCUACCAAGGCAACGAUCAGUAGCGGGUCUUAGAGGACGAUCCGCCACACUGGAACUGAGACACGGUCCAGACUCCUACGGGAGGCAGCAGUGGGGAAUCUUGGACAAUGGGCGAAAGCCUGAUCCAGCAAUGCCGCGUGCGUGAAGAAGGCCUUCGGGUUGUAAAGCGCUUUUGUCGGGGAGGAAAUCCUAGUGGCUAAUAACCGCUGGGGAUGACAGUACCCGAAGAAUAAGGACCGGCUAACUACGUGCCAGCAGCCGCGGUAAUACGUAGGGUCCAAGCGUUAAUCGGAAUUACUGGGCGUAAAGCGUCCGCAGGUGGCUUGAUAAGAUAGACGUGAAAUCCCUGGGCUCAACCUAGGAAUUGCGUUUAUGACUGUCUCGCUAGAGUAUGGGAGAGGGGGGUGGAAUUCCACGUGUAGCAGUGAAAUGCGUAGAGAUGUGGAGGAACACCGAUGGCGAAGGCAACCCCCUGGCCUAAUACUGACACUCAUGGACGAAAGCGUGGGGAGCAAACAGGAUUAGAUACCCUGGUAGUCCACGCCCUAAACGAUGUCUACUAGUUGUUGGGCUUUUCGGAGCUUAGUAACGCAGCUAACGCGUGAA
rnacentral:rRNA from 1 species